ACAGUUACAGCAGACGAAUAAGCACUAGGUGGUAGCAUUAAUCAUCAGAAAUGCCAAUGUGUCAUGGCACCACAUACAAACUCGACGAUAUAUCCAAGUUGUCAGAACACGUCAGCUGACAUUCGGGUUCGUAGCGAAAAGAGACCUUCUAGUGUGCGGAGUGGCAGAGAGCGUCUAUGGGCCAUUUUCAC
ensembl:ncRNA C12D12.9 ncRNA